UUAACGCGAAAGAACCUUACCUGGUCUUGACAUCCACGGAAGUUUCCAGAGAUGGAAAUGUGCUUUCGGGAACCGUGAGACAGGUGGUGCAUGGCUGUCGUCAGCUCGUGUUGUGAAAUGUUGGGUUAAGUCCCGCAACGAGCGCAACCCUUAUCCUUUGUUGCCAGCGGUCCGGCCGGGAACUCAAAGGAGACUGCCAGUGAUAAACCGGAGGAAGGUGGGGAUGACGUCAAGUCAUCAUGGCCCUUACGACCAGGGCUACACACGUGCUACAAUGGCGCAUACAAAGAGAAGCGACCUCGCGAGAGCAAGCGGACCUCAUAAAGUGCGUCGUAGUCCGGAUUGGAGUCUGCAACUCGACUCCAUGAAGUCGGAAUCGCUAGUAAUCGUGAUCAGAAUCCUGAAGA
rnacentral:rRNA from 1 species